rnacentral:tRNA from 1 species
GGUGCCUUAGCUCAAUUGGUUAGAGCUUCCGCUUGUCAGGCGGGAGGUUGCGGGUUCAAGUCCCGUAGGUGCCG